rnacentral:misc_RNA from 1 species
AACGCACAUUGCGCCCGCCAGCAUUCUGGCGGGCAUGCCUGUUCGAGCGUCAUUUCAACCAUCAAGCCCCCGGGCUUGUGUUGGGGACCUGCGUCUGACCGCAGGCCCUGAAAACCAGUGGCGGGCUCGCUGUCCACACCGAGCGUAGUAACUAAACCUCGCUCCGGGAGUGCCGCGGGCGCCUGCCGUUAAACCCCCCACCACACCAAAGGUUGACCUCGGAUCAGGUAGGAAUACCCGCUGAACUUAA